rnacentral:rRNA from 1 species
AAUCCAUAGGUUAAUGAGGCGAACCGGGGGAACUGAAACAUCUAAGUACCCCGAGGAAAAGAAAUCAACCGAGAUUCCCCCAGUAGCGGCGAGCGAACGGGGAGGAGCCCAGAGCCUGAAUCAGCAUGUGUGUUAGUGGAAGCGUCUGGAAAGGCGCGCGAUACAGGGUGACAGCCCCGUACACAAAAGCGCAUGUGCUGUGAGCUCGAUGAGUAGGGCGGGACACGUGGUAUCCUGUCUGAAUAUGGGGGGACCAUCCUCCAAGGCUAAAUACUCCUGACUGACCGAUAGUGAACCAGUACCGUGAGGGAAAGGCGAAAAGAACCCCGGCGAGGGGAGUGAAAAAGAACCUGAAACCGUGUACGUACAAGCAGUGGGAGCACAGGUUUACCUGUGUGACUGCGUACCUUUUGUAUAAUGGGUCAGCGACUUAUAUUCUGUAGCAAGGUUAACCGUAUAGGGGAGCCGUAGGGAAACCGAGUCUUAACCGGGCGUUAAGUUGCAGGGUAUAGACCCGAAACCCGGUGAUCUAGCCAUGGGCAGGUUGAAGGUUGGGUAACACUAACUGGAGGACCGAACCGACUAAUGUUGAAAAAUUAGCGGAUGACCUGUGGCUGGGGGUGAAAGGCCAAUCAAACCGGGAGAUAGCUGGUUCUCCCCGAAAGCUAUUUAGGUAG